rnacentral:lncRNA from 1 species
AGAGGACGCAGGCGCAGUUGUGGAAGUACUGCUUCAGGUGCUGGGCUGAAUCCUGCGAACCAAGGCAGUUUUUGCAGUUGGACCUUGUGAGCGCUGCGGUGGCAGUAGACGCCCAUGCUCCCCGAGCUUCGGGAAGAAGUUUUUACUUAGCAGUUAUAAAUGGAGACGGAGUAUCUUCAAAAGAAUCUUGGGACAUGUCUAACUCAAGGGCUUGCAGAAGUGGCAAGGAUGCGGCCAGUGGAUCCAAUAGAAUAUUUGGCAUUGUGGAUUUACAAGUAUAAAGAAAAUGUGACCAGGGAGCAACUGAGACAAGAGGAAAUGGCCCAGUUGGAGCAUGAAAGACAAAUAGCUCUGAUGGAGCAGGAAAUGAUGGAGAGACUUAAAGCAGAAGAGCUCCUAUUUCAGCAGGAAUUGAGAAUGAACAUGGAAAAUAUAGCUAAGGGUGAAGAUACCUUACAUGGAGAGGACAGAGCCGACUCAGGCAAAACACUGGCUGAAAUCAGUGAUCGUUACGGGGCACCUAACUUGAGCAGAGUGGAAGAACUUGAUGAACCAAUGCUAUCUGAUGUUGCAUUAAACAUUGAUCAAGAUUUGUAGAAUCAACCAACCUAAGAACAAUAAAUUUUUCUUGUUUCAAAUUUCAAAGUGUGAGGUCCCCAAACAUAUUCCACCCCCAAACUUGAAUUCUACUUUUUUCCCCUCUGAAGACAGCUUUGUAAAUGGGCUUCAAGGGUGGUCUUAAAAUAUUGUUUUGGAUUUCUCAAUGUCACUAGUUACUGUAUGAUUCCAUUGAGAGGUCGGGAGAGAGCAACUAAAAGGGGCAGUGGGAGACAAGCUGAAAAGAAUGUGAGUAUCUGUGUGAGAACAGAUUGCCUAAGAUGGAAGUUACUGGUCUGUGAGAAGUGAAAGAGGCUGCCACUACGUAGUGCUCAGGAAUAUUCAACAUGCUUUAGAUAUGGUGUUUCCUCCUAUGAGAACACUUCAAAGAUUUCCCCAGUUUGCUGGGAAGCGAUGCUCUAGAGUACCACUUAAUCCAUGCUUAUUGAUGGGACUGUGAUGGGGAGGGAUGGAACGUACCUGGGUACAGAGAAGCAGCAUUUCUUCUUGAACAAUCAUUGGGCAAAGUUGCUGUGUUGAAAGGAAGAUCUCACUGGAUACAGGCCCUGCAGUGUGUUCCCUUCAGUAGAUACUGGAUGGUCUGCAGACCCUGACUGUACUCUUGGCCUCUUGGAAGUUUCAGGGCUAGCCUUAAACUUUAAGGAGAACUUCACUUCCUUUAUAAAAUUCUUCCAAAUCUA